rnacentral:rRNA from 1 species
GAGCUAAUACCGGAUAAUAUAUUGAACCGCAUGGUUCAAUAGUGAAAGACGGUUUUGCUGUCACUUAUAGAUGGAUCCGCGCCGCAUUAGCUAGUUGGUAAGGUAACGGCUUACCAAGGCGACGAUGCGUAGCCGACCUGAGAGGGUGAUCGGCCACACUGGAACUGAGACACGGUCCAG